rnacentral:rRNA from 2 species
CGGGUGAGUAACACGUGGAUAACCUACCUAUAAGACUGGGAUAACUUCGGGAAACCGGAGCUAAUACCGGAUAACAUGUUGAACCGCAUGGUUCAACAGUGAAAGACGGUCUUGCUGUCACUUAUAGAUGGAUCCGCGUCGCAUUAGCUAGUUGGUAAGGUAACGGCUUACCAAGGCAACGAUGCGUAGCCGACCUGAGAGGGUGAUCGGCCACACUGGAACUGAGACACGGUCCAG